AGCGAACGCUGGCGGCAGGCCUAACACAUGCAAGUCGAACGAACCUUUCGGGGUUAGUGGCGGACGGGUGAGUAACACGUGGGAACGUGCCUUUAGGUUCGGAAUAACUCAGGGAAACUUGUGCUAAUACCGAAUGUGCCCUUCGGGGGAAAGAUUUAUCGCCUUUAGAGCGGCCCGCGUCUGAUUAGCUAGUUGGUUGAGGUAAUGGCUCACCAAGGCGACGAUCAGUAGCUGGUCUGAGAGGCUGAUCAGCCACAUUGGGACUGAGACACGGCCCAAACUCCUACGGGAGGCAGCAGUGGGGAAUCUUGCGCAAUGGGCGAAAGCCUGACGCAGCCAUGCCGCGUGAAUGAUGAAGGUCUUAGGAUUGUAAAAUUCUUUCACCGGGGACGAUAAUGACGGUACCCGGAGAAGAAGCCCCGGCUAACUUCGUG
rnacentral:rRNA from 1 species